UCUAUGACAUUAAUUUAAUCAGGAUUUUAUGAUAAGUAUAGAUAAAAAAAGUUUUCAACAUCAACUUGUAAAUAUAAAAAAAAAAUUCUCAAUAUAUAUCUAUAUUUCUUAUACCCAAUCAUCUCUUUUGAUCAACCUUCACCGGAUAAAGCGCCUGACUAAGAAGGGCUAGUCAGACUAAUGCUCUCACAUGCUCGUCAUGUGGGUUACGUCAAGGUUCCCCCAAGAGCUACUUUCAUCACAUUUAAUAAAGUCUCUCAUUGCUCUAUCGUUGGAUCUAAAAAAGUUAAGUCAGGCUAUACUAUAUUAUAUCCAAAUAGAGCACUGUAACACCCCUAUCCCGUGACCGUCGCCGGAAUAGGUAAGGGGCAUUACCGGGCUUGUAACUCAUGUCAGAACCGUAAAAUUUUGAACUUUCUCUUGAAAUAAAGGUCAUUCAUUUAGAUAAGUACCAAGCACAGCCAGGGAUAAAAUUUAAAC
rnacentral:lncRNA from 1 species